AGUGAGGAAUAUUGGUCAAUGGACGCAAGUCUGAACCAGCCAUGUCGCGUGCAGGACGACGGCCCUAUGGGUUGUAAACUGCUUUUGUAUGGGAAGAAAGUUAGCUACGAGUAGCUAUUUGCCGGUACCAUACGAAUAAGGAUCGGCUAACUCCGUGCCAGCAGCCGCGGUAAUACGGAGGAUCCGAGCGUUAUCCGGAUUUAUUGGGUUUAAGGGGUGCGUAGGCGGACUGAUAAGUCAGUGGUGAAAUGCUGCAGCUUAACUGUAGAAUUGCCGUUGAUACUGUCAGUCUUGAGUACAGUUGAGGUAGGCGGAAUGUGGUGUGUAGCGGUGAAAUGCAUAGAUAUACCACAGAACACCGAUUGCGAAGGCAGCUUACUAAAGUGUCACUGACGCUGAUGCACGAAAGCGUGGGUAUCAAACAGGAUUAGAUACCCUGGUAGUCCACGCUGUAAACGAUGAUUACUGGUUGUUAGCGAUAUACCGUUAGUGACUGAGCGAAAGCAUUAAGUAAUCCACCUGGGGAGUACGUCGGCAACGAUG
rnacentral:rRNA from 1 species